UUUUUAAUUGGAAUCUUGAAUGAAUGGUUGGACAAGAGGGAUACUGUCUUUGUAUUAUGAAUUUAAUUUAACUUUUAAGUGAAAAGGCUUAAAUGUCCUAAAAAGACGAUAAGACCCUAUAAAACUUUACAUUAAGAUUAAUAUUUAUUAAAGUUUAUAGUAAAAAUUUAUUUUAAUUAUUAUGUUAUGUUGGGGAGACAAAAAUAUAAGGUUUAAUAACUGUUAAAUAGUUAAACAUUAAGUUUAUGAUUAUUAAUUGAUCCUUAAUAAAGAUUAAAAGAUUAAGUUACUUUAGGGAUAACAGCGUUAUUUUUUUUGAGAGUUCAUAUCGAAAAAAGAGAUUGCGACCUCGAUGUUGAAUUAAGAUAUCUAUAUAGUGGAGAGAUUAUAUUAGAAGGUCUGUUCGACCUUUAAAUUUUUAC
rnacentral:rRNA from 1 species